rnacentral:rRNA from 1 species
AGUGAACGCUGGCGAUAGGCCUAACACAUGCAAGUCGAACGGCAGCACAGUAAGAUCUUGCUCUUACGGGUGGCGAGUGGCGGACGGGUGAGGAAUACAUCGGAAUCUACUUUUUCGUGGGGGAUAACGUAGGGAAACUUACGCUAAUACCGCAUACGACCUACGGGUGAAAGCAGGGGAUCUUCGGACCUUGCGCGAUUGAAUUAGCCGAUGUCGGAUUAGCUAGUUGGCUGGGUAAAGGCCCACCAAGGCGACGAUCCGUAGCUGGUCUGAGAGGAUGAUCAGCCACACUGGAACUGAGACACGGUCCAGACUCCUACGGGAGGCAGCAGUGGGGAAUAUUGGACAAUGGGCGCAAGCCUGAUCCAGCCAUACCGCGUGGGUGAAGAAGGCCUUCGGGUUGUAAAGCCCUUUUGUUGGGAAAGAAAAGCAGCAGGUUAAUACCCCGCUGUUCUGACGGUACCCAAAGAAUAAGCACCGGCUAACUUCGUG